AGCAGCCGCGGUAAUUCCAGCUCCAAUAGCGUAUAUUAAAGUUGUUGCAGUUAAAAAGCUCGUAGUUGAAUUUCGGGAUCAAUUAAUUGGUCGUGCCUCUGGUACGUACUGAUUUUAUUGGUUUCUCCCUUCUGACGAACCAUGAUGUCAUUAAUUUGGUGUCGUGGAGAAUCAGGACUGUUACUUUGAAAAAAUUAGAGUGUUUAAAGCAAGCUAACGCUUGAAUACAUUAGCAUGGAAUAAUGAAAUAGGACGUUUGAUCCUAUUUUGUUGGUUUCUAGGAUCGACGUAAUGAUUAAUAGGGAUAGUUGGGGGCAUUAGUAUUCAAUUGUCAGAGGUGAAAUUCUUGGAUUUAUUGAAGACUAACUACUGCGAAAGCAUUUGCCAAGGAUGUUUUCAUUAAUCAAGAACGAAAGUUAGGGGAUCGAAGACGAUCAGAUACCGUCGUAGUCUUAACCAUAAACUAUGCCGA
rnacentral:rRNA from 1 species